rnacentral:rRNA from 1 species
CCUACGGGAGGCAGCAGUGGGGAAUAUUGGUCAAUGGACGCAAGUCUGAACCAGCCAUGCCGCGUGCAGGAAGACGGCUCUAUGAGUUGUAAACUGCUUUUGUACGAGGGUAAACGCAGAUACGCGUAUCUGUCUGAAAGUAUCGUACGAAUAAGGAUCGGCUAACUCCGUGCCAGCAGCCGCGGUAAUACGGAGGAUUCGAGCGUUAUCCGGAUUUAUUGGGUUUAAAGGGUGCGUAGGCGGUAGGAUAAGUUAGAGGUGAAAUCCCGAGGCUCAACUUCGGAAUUGCCUCUGAUACUGUUAGGCUAGAGAGUAGUUGCGGUAGGCGGAAUGUAUGGUGUAGCGGUGAAAUGCUUAGAGAUCAGACAGAACACCGAUGGCGAAGGCAGCUUACCAAGCCACUUCUGACGUUGAGGCACGAAAGCGUGGGGAGCAAACAGGAUUAGAUACCCCAGUAGUC